UGGGGAAUCUUGCGCAAUGGGCGAAAGCCUGACGCAGCCAUGCCGCGUGGAUGAUGAAGGUCUUAGGAUUGUAAAAUCCUUUCACCGGUGAAGAUAAUGACUGUAGCCGGAGAAGAAGCCCCGGCUAACUUCGUGCCAGCAGCCGCGGUAAUACGAAGGGGGCUAGCGUUGCUCGGAAUUACUGGGCGUAAAGGGAGCGUAGGCGGACAUUUAAGUCAGGGGUGAAAUCCCGAGGCUCAACCUCGGAACUGCCUUUGAUACUGAGUGUCUUGAGUGUGAGAGAGGUAUGUGGAACUCCGAGUGUAGAGGUGAAAUUCGUAGAUAUUCGGAAGAACACCAGUGGCGAAGGCGACAUACUGGCUCAUUACUGACGCUGAGGCUCGAAAGCGUGGGGAGCAAACAGGAUUAGAUACCCUGGUAGUCCACGCCGUAAACGAUGAUUGCUAGUUGUCGGGAAGCUUGCUUUUCGGUGACGCAGCUAACGCAUUAAGCAAUCCGCCUGGGGAGUACGGUCGCAAGAUUAAAACUCAAAGGAAUUGACGGGGUCAUAGCUGUUUCCUG
rnacentral:rRNA from 1 species